GUAUGUAAUUGGAUGUGUGCUUUUGUAACAGCCAUAAACUGUUUAUGAAGAGCAGCUGAUUCCGAAAGGUUCAGUAAAUCGUGGACUUCCUGAAACGGACGAUCUUAUUUCACCCACAGAUUGAACCAGGAAAUAAACAUGGUGUGACUGUUAAUAAAAGCUAGCAUCUACGUGGUGAGGAAGAUCCGGGCCUCCAUUACUGAGGGAGAGCAACUGGAGAAGCCCAUCAUAACACCAUGUAGUGCUAUUGCUGAAAGCAGAGCGGGGCAUGAGUCGAGAGGAAACACCCCAGUGGCUGCACUUGUACCAGGACCUGAUGAAGGUGUUGGUGGAGCAACAGGCACGGGGACAUCCACAGAGACAGCUGUGCAGAAAUGUGGCUCCUGAUGUUAAAGAUCACGCUGGACACUGGGACUGUAGACAAUUCACUGGAAAAUUAUAGUUUUUCAUCUUUGUACUUUUGCAGCACAAGGCAAUAGUUAACUGUUAUGGAUGAUCUCUUGUGUAUACGUAACCAUACACCUAAAUAUAAUGUUAAACAUUUAUUUUUGUUCAAAGAGAAGUGAGCAAACACUCUCUUUUGGACUGAAGUUAUUCCAGUGAUAAUCUCAAUUAAGUCUCAAUGCUGCAUUCAGAGUCCAGCUCCUGAUGGCACACAUUUAGGCCUUUUUCAAACAGUUUGACUUACCAUAGGAGGAAAAUACACAGGUGCAACUAAUAACAUUAACAAUGACUCUUCUCCAAUUAGUUUUUGGUGGUGAGGUAACAGGCACAAUACUGUGGAGUCCUGCAAUGCCACCUGAAUGUGAUGCAGAAAAUGUAUUUGGUUAGUGAAAAUAUUAUCUGUUAGAAAAGCCUAUGUUUAUAUUGUAUACUACAGUGUUUGAAGACCAACUCACCAACCUCUGUCCAGGGGCUGAGCAGGCCUGAUGUUUCUGCUGUUGUAUCAAUAAAUGGGGAAAAAAAAAGUU